rnacentral:lncRNA from 1 species
AUUAGUGAUGCAUGGUGCAUUAUUUUACAAUCAAACGUUGUAAUUACUUUGCUUUGGCGGAAGCAGCUGUGCUUGAAAUAUAAUAGCGAUAUGGCCGUUUUGAAUCUACAUUUGAGUAACGGCAGAGCCAAGCAUUUAAAAAUAGGGGGCUCCGCGGAGGCAGUCGUGUCUCUGUCGGUAACUAAUGUUAGCCACUGAUGCUAUCCGUUAGCGGCACAGUCCAGCAGCAUGAAACAACUUAAACAAGUCGUCCACAGGCGUGUAUAAAACCAGAGAGACAGGGAAGGAUUCAUUUUUCAUGUUAUAUGUGCUCACAAGGCCAAUAAAAACUAUAAUACAUGUACAUUGCGACAUUUUAGGGUGAAUUGUAUGUUAAGACAGACUGUAUAAGCAGAAAACUGUGCAUGAGUGCAUUGUCUAAGUCACUGUGUAACAAGUUGUCUGUUUUUCACCAAAAUGCAAAAAAAAUUGUGUUUUUCUACAAGCUAACAGUAUAAACACUAUCACAUCCUGUAUCAACAGGAAGUACAUCGACUUCAAGGAAGUGACGCAGCUGCAGUGCAACUCCAAAGCCUCCAACAGCUUCAUGUGAGGUCAAUUAAUGUAUUCAGUGUUAUAAUUAACAGCCCAGUUUAUCUUGUGACACAUGGAUAUCAGCUGUACUGUGGCCGUGUUGUUUGCUAGCUAACAGAGAGCUAAAAGGUGAUUUAGCACCCCCACAGCAGCUGUAUAUUUAGACUUGCUAACUGUUUUGUGGUGAAUUUUAUCUUUAAACAUAAUGUAGGAGCAAAAUAAUAGAUGAGGGAAUUAUCUUAACUCACUGUUGUGUCUAUUUUAUUUCAAAAUACAGAUAUGUAUCAGGAAGCUGGCUGUCUACAUCCUGUUACAACAGAAAGUACAUCAACUUCAAGGAAGUGACGCAGCUGCAGUGUGACUCAAAAACCAUCAAGUCUUCAUGUGAGGAGAAGCCCUGUCGGAUCCAGAACCAGCGCUGAGGCUCUUUUCGCAGGUUUCAUUAACAUCCCCAGACCAACAGCACCGCGGUGGCAGACUACACUUGCAGCGUCUGAGCAUUCAUUAAGGAGGAAUUCAAAUGUUGCUCUCUGGGAAAUUGUCAGAACAGAUGGUGACUGUUUCCAGGCCUCGGGACGGGGAACAGACGUCGGUGUUUAUCUGUUUUGAUAACUGACUUGCUGAAUUGAAAUCAUGCGACGACUCGGUUUUAUUUAUUUUAUUUUUUUUCUUUUUACUUUGCAGCCACGUUUGUUUUGAAUAUAUUCGUCCUCUGGUGACGCCCCGGGAAGCUCUGAGAAUUUGAGUCUCCUAACUUGCACCACGUCUUGUUUGAGGAAUGAAAUGCAGUUGCUAUGGCAACCUCAGCAGACGGAUGACAGUUGGCCGGAGUCAGUUUAACGUGGAGUAGCCUCUUUUUAAGAGCAAAGGAAGCGAAAGGGGAGGGAGGCAAUAUCAGAUUCUUGUGAGCAGUUGAUUCUGCUUGUGUCUGAUGGCCACCCUCUCACAGGAUGAUUCAAUCGAUACAUCCUUUCAGAUGGAAUUGCGUGUAAAAAACAUUCCCCUGCCGAAACAAUACAUCUAUUGACAAUACAAAUUCACAGCCUUUGAAGGCUUUUCUGAGAUAUACUCACGGGAGCAACUCUGGAAAGAAAUUACUUGCUGAGGAUGGAAGUCGAACGCCACAAGAGACCAAAUUAAGGUUUGUUUUUUUUUUUGCCCUCACUGCUGCUGUAGACCAACAAACAUGAUGCCGUGUUGCCUCUUUUAUCUUUUUCAUGAAACAUAACUCACACAAAAGAAGUGUUUAUCCUCAACGUGUCAGACGUACAGGCGGAUUGUUUGCGGCGUUUUGAGUCAUCAAUAAAAAAAGAGACUUGUGUUCCAGUCUUUCACUGAACGUCAUCCAUUACAGUACUCCAUUAUCGCUGAACGUGUAUCAUCAGUUUGCAAAUGAGCCAAUUAAAGAACACGAAACACACUAAACAAAUCCAGCCAAAGCCUUUCCUAUCGCAGCCUAUUCACUUCUCAUUACGGCUCAG